rnacentral:rRNA from 1 species
GACGAACGCUGGCGGCGUGCCUAAUACAUGCAAGUUGAGCGAUGAAGAUUGGUGCUUGCACCAAUUUGAAGAGCAGCGAACGGGUGAGUAACGCGUGGGGAAUCUGCCUUUGAGCGGGGGACAACAUUUGGAAACGAAUGCUAAUACCGCAUAACAACUUUAAACAUAAGUUUUAAGUUUGAAAGAUGCAAUUGCAUCACUCAAAGAUGAUCCCGCGUUGUAUUAGCUAGUUGGUGAGGUAAAGGCUCAACAAGGCGAUGAUACAUAGCCGACCUGAGAGGGGGGUCGGCCACAUUGGGACUGGGAAACGGCCCAAACUCCUACGGGAAGCAGCAGUAGGGAAUCUUCGGCAAUGGACGAAAGGCUGACCGAGCAACGCCGCGGGAGUGAAGAAGGGUUUCGGAUCGGAAAACUCUGUUGGUAGGGAAGAACGUUGGUGGGAGUGGAAAGCUCAUCAAGUGACGGUAACUACCCAGAAAGGGACGGCUAACUACGUG